rnacentral:rRNA from 1 species
AAUAGAUACCCAGGUAGUCCACGCCGUAAACGAUGAGUGCUAAGUGUUAGAGGGUUUCCGCCCUUUAGUGCUGCAGCUAACGCAUUAAGCACUCCGCCUGGGGAGUACGGUCGCAAGACUGAAACUCAAAGGAAUUGACGGGGGCCCGCACAAGCGGUGGAGCAUGUGGUUUAAUUCGAAGCAACGCGAAGAACCUUACCAGGUCUUGACAUCCCACUGACCGGUAUAGAGAUAUACCUUUCCCUUCGGGGACAGUGGUGACAGGUGGUGCAUGGUUGUCGUCAGCUCGUGUCGUGAGAUGUUGGGUUAAGUCCCGCAACGAGCGCAACCCUUGAUCUUAGUUGCCAGCAUUUAGUUGGGGCACUCUAAGGUGACUGCCGGUGACAAACCGGAGGAAGGUGGGGAUGACGUCAAAUCAUCAUGCCCCUUAUGACCUGGGCUACACACGUGCUACAAUGGAUGGUACAAAGGGCUGCAAGACUGCGAAGUCAAGCCAAUCCCAUAAACCAUUCUCAGUUCGGAUUGCAGG